UACGGAGGAUGCAAGCGUUAUCCGGAUUUAUUGGGUUUAAAGGGUGCGUAGGCGGAAGCUUAAGCGUGAGGUGAAAUGCCACAGCUCAACUGUGGAGCUGCCUCGCGAACUGGGUUUAUGGAAUGCCCCUGCCGUGGGAGGAAUGUGUGGUGUAGCGGUGAAAUGCAUAGAGAUCACACAGAACACCGAUUGCGAAGGCAUCUCACGAAGGGGUGAUUGACGCCGAGGUACGAAAGCGUGGGGAUCAAAC
rnacentral:rRNA from 1 species